UCGAGUUAAUUCUUUGAUUAUUUGUGCAAAUAGUAAACCGUUCCAUACGUUUCUUGGCUAACCAGAUUAUUCAUAGAUCUGUGUAUAACUUUAUUGUAAGAAAAUGAGUGCAGCCGGUAGUGAAGCCGGUUGUGAUGUUGCAACAGGAGAUUGUCCAUCUAGCCCGGAGCAGUUAAUCCAUAACGUUGUUGAAUAUGUAAAUUCACAUUUAGAUUUGGAUCAUGAUGUGGCUGCAUGGAUAAGUGAGUUGCAGGCAGAAGCCAAGAGAGAAUGUGUGGAUGUAUGGACGCCACUUGGCACAGUCAGGAGACAACUAACUUAUCUUGAUGUGCUUAGAAAUACCGCAGGUAAAAACCAACACCUCUUAAAGAUGUUGCCAUCAAUUUUGUAUGCAUUAUUAGAGGUCAGCAUUUUCUCAGAGAGUAGACAUAUGCAUAUAACAAAAAUGAAAGCAUAUAUAUCCCAUAUGGAAGAAAGAUUAGAAUCUGCAAAUGCAUCGAUCGAGGACUUAAAAUGUGAGCUCGAUCACAGCCAUGCUGCCUAUCACAAAUUAAAAAGUGAGGCAGAGGAGCUGCACAUCCGUUAUAGCAGUCUGCAGCAAACAAAUGAACUAAGCCAAACUGUAGCUGAUGUUCAAGGUGAUAUGUCUGAUCAUGAGGGAUAUCCAGACCCUCCAAUUCUCACACCCCAAAAUGUAGAUAUGUCAUCAUCACAUGCUCUUAAAGCGCAAUCCAUCCGAGACCUUAAGCCCCCUGAGGGUGAUGGCAUGAUUACACAGGAGGUCUUAACCCAUUUCAGUCAGGCGUGUCAAGCUGUAACCGCCUUACUAGGCGCUAGCGACGCAAAAGGCCGCAGAAGUGCCCCUCCACGUCCUCCUCUGGGGAGGAAUGUUAGGGUUAAGUCACCUGUGCCAAGUGGGUCUGAUGGAAGUGAGCGGAGCAUGAGUGAUUGUGACAGUGAUGUGGGAAAGCGUGUGAUCCAUUCCCUACCACGCAGGCAUAAGAUUGCCCAUCAGGUGGAUGAGAGUUUCAGACGACCAACAUAUGCUGAGGUGGUCUCUAGAAAGAAAAAUACUCAGUGUUCAGAAAAGGAUCAGAACUCCUCGAGUAUUAUUAAGUUUUUAAAUGUCACUGUGCCCAAAUUCUCUAAAAAGGGUUCUCCUGAAAUUGCCAAUCACUUAGAACUGUACCAGUCCACCAUGGAUUCUUUAAAAUUGUAUUCUGAUGCGGACAGGAUCAGAUUCCUACCAUGGGCAUUUGAUGGUAAAUAUCGCCACUACUUUAUUUCAUUUAGGGAGAGGGGAAUUCAGGAUUGGCAGGAUGUUUUGCAUGAGGUCAAAUUAGAAUUUGGACCUUACCGUACUGUUACUGCUGCAAAACGUGAUAUCUAUAAACUUACAUGUAGACCCAAUCAGAGUCCCCGUGAAUUCCUCCCUAUCCUUAAAAAUGCCUAUGGGUUGGCGUAUAGAUCCCCAAACUGGGAGUCUGAGGAGUUCAAACAGCUGUUUUAUGAUGCAAUGCCCAUGCAAAUUAAACUUAGCUUGGCUAGAGAUCUUGAUCUCAAAGCUCCCUUGGACAGGUUGGUGACGGCUGCCACCUCACUGUAUAACAUCAGUGAAUGCCAUGCUACAGGUGAGAGGAGAUAUAAAAAGUCCCCAGAACAAAGCAUAGCAGAAGCUAAGGUAAACCCUAGCUUCAAAUUUGAAACGCAGCCACGUAAGUACCCUCAGUCUACAGGACCUGUCCAACAAACCCAGCGACAACAGUUAGGACCCAAGCAAACAAGACCUCAGAGCCCCAAUGGGCCAGAGGGGGAUAACUCCAGUGCUGGCAGGUUUAACUACCGUCCCCAAUAUUACAAUAGGGGUCCCCAGGGGGGAUACAGGCGCUGGAACAACAGGCCCAGACAACAGAAGGAAAAUAGGCCUGAAUCCCCUACCUCACCUAGAAGUCGGUCACCCACUUCUAAUAAGGGCACACCAGAGGUCCAAACUGUGCGCAAACCAAACAAUCGUUUGGAUCAGUUGGCAGAUCAAGUGGCCAAAUUACAGGAGAUCGUUAGUAAAAUGUCCCAGGUGUCAACUGGAAAACAGCCUGAGUCUUUUUUAGGGGCAACUGCAGGACCCAGCUCAGCCCCAUAAUGCAGGCAGGGCAGGGUCAGAGCCCAGGCCGGUGCAAGGCUACUGAGAUGGUUGUAAAAGAAUCUAAUGUGAUUUCUAAUCCUACUUUGCCUUGCAGUGUUCUUGUCCCUAAAAUUGAGGCCAAGGAGGAGAUGUCUAACAUGUUGUCUAUAUUACAGUCUAAUCAUGAUGAUUCCUGCACUAAUGUGUCUUCUCCAGUGAGUGAUCCUAUCACCUCAGCGUCCAUCUGCGAGCUGCCGUCUGUAAGCUGUGAUGUGAUCCAGUGUUCUCCGAAGGUGGGGGCUGCUGCUGCCACCGCGAGCAGCAAGAAUUCCAAGAAUUCAUCAGAGGUCGCGACGCUGCAGAAAGGUCAAAUCCUUAACAAAUGUCAAAUAAGUGAUCACCCUAAUUUUUUAUGUGAUUUGUUUCAGAUAGAAGGCCGAUAUUUUCUUGAUUCCUAUCUCCAAGAUGAACUUAUCGGACCAAUCAGGGGUUUACUUGACACAGGAUCACAAGCCACUAUAUUGUCAUAUAGUUACUUCCAACAAGUAUUAGAGGUGACAGCAAAGAAGCCGAAACUGAAAUCGUUUGAUGGCUCUUUGAUAAGUGUCGGCGGAGACGCUUUGCAGGUAAAAGGUACAUCAUGGUUAAAAUUCAAAAUUGGUAAGAAGAUAAUUAGACAUCCCACUCUGAUCGUGGACCUUCCCUAUGAUCGGCUGAUCAUAGGAAUUGACCUCCUGAGAAGAUUGAGUUCCAUAGUAGACUUCAUCAAUGAAGCCGUCUGGACUCAGGUGAAGGCACCCAUUGCCUAUGAGUACUCUUGCAAUGCACAAUCCCAACGUAAUUGUCAUGUGAUUGAGGAAAGGUUUAACUCUGUUGAAGUUCAUUUUAGGAACAAUCAAACACCGGAUGUCACAAUCCUGAAAAAUGGUAAACCCGAGGAAGCCGUCAGCAGUGCCGCACAUACCAUAACCAUCCAGAAGGACAGAAUUGAAAAGGAGAUAAAACCACAGAACAUUUAUUCAUUGUGUUGAAUGAACCACGGUACCAGCUGUACAUAGGUAAUGACCUUCUACACCGAUUUGCCGUGCAGAUUGAUCUGGUCAACAAUACUCUAUGGUCCAGAUUACCUGGGAACCCGGAGGGAUUCCAGGAUGAAGAACAAGCCUUGAGAUGGGGACAACAGAUGCCCUAUGCCGUCACAACUUCGCCAAAUGGAAGGAUUGCCGGAUGAUGAAGAGUAAAGAGAUAACAAGGUUCCAGCUAAAGACAGAAACCCAGGAUUGGUAUAGUAUGAACAUACAAAUGAACUAACCUAUCCUCAUGUAUUUUCCUCUGUAACUAAUUAUCUCUUGACUCACUUUUGUAUCGAGAACUUGCUCUGUCCAAGAAAAGAAACGAUGCCAAAUCAAAGAUGUAUGGUAGUAUUAACUCUUUUCUUGCAGGAGUAAUAAAAAGUGGAAGAUGUAUGUACUUAUAUUUGUCAUACAAUAUAUUACAGGUGCAAAAUGGCACGGAGGGUUGUUGCCGUUAUCUACAUCGUCCUGAUCUUGGGGAAGGAGUUCCAGGCCGAGCCGAUUGCUGUACCAGGCCCUUCAUCUGGGAUCAUGCUACAGGAUACCACGGGAUUCAUCUUGACGAAUAAGAGGAUUCUAUCCCAAAAGAUCUACGUCAGUUUGGACCCACGUGUCUUCGUCGAGAGACAGUUCAACAUUUCUGAGAUUUCGUCUCCGGAGAUAAAGAUUUGGUAUCAAAUGCACACCGGCUAUUCCCAAGAAAGAGUUACACAGAUCCUGGAACAGACAAGGAAAACCAUGACCAGCGAACAGUUUUCAACAAGUCGACGACCAAAGUGGUUCAUUUCUGCAAUUACAGCCGCCAUAAUCUUUGCCGUAGUGGGCACUGUCAUUGCCACCGGUGUAUCAGCUGUUAAUUCCAUCUCCGUUAAGACAUUGGAACUUGAGAUCGGUUCACUGAAAAGGAACCUAAUGAGUAUUCAUGCAGAGUUGGAGAA